UGUUUCUCGUGGCGUGCUGCGUGAUCGUCAAAGGGGCGCCCACGACGAAUAAGAGGCUGCAGCCCCCCCCCCCCUGCCUUCCUCCCAAGCACGCACAGACACACGCGCAGAAGCUGCUCAGCUUCUCUCGGGCACAUUUGUCACUCACCUGUUGCGUGUGACGGGCUUGUCGUGUUGUCCUUCUCUUUCGAGGCGGGGGAGGGGGUGGGGACUUUGUUGUCCUGAACGCAUGGAGGCGCUCUCGCGGGGCUUUUGUGCAGCGGCGCUGGUGCAGUCGCUGGCGCCGAAAGAAGUGGAGGCGUGGCACCGGCAGUGGCCGCAGCCCACCCUACAAGUGGUGGACAUACAGCGCUACCCGCGCGUCCCAACUGCGUCCCGUGGGACCUCGCGGUUUUACAUGGCCGUAUCGGACUCGGAGUCGGUUGCGUGGCUCGUGGUUCCACCGUGCACCGCCUUGGAGGACUCUGUCGCCGCGUUCGAGAUAGAGGUGGGCUGCUGUGUUACGUUGCUAUCCCACGCCUUGGUAACAGCAGCGAACGGUUUGAACGUGGUUGUCCCACUUGAGGUGAAGUACUCGAACAACACGCUCCGCCUCCUUGGACAGCCUAGCUGCGCCGAGGCGCUCUUUCCACUCUCGGCUCAUUCGCUCCUGCCGCGCCACAACGCAGACGACCAUACUCCCUGCGCUGCCGCGGCGUCGCAGCGGCCAUUGCACGCGAUUGCACUACGUGAUUUCAUGGACGCCCCUCAGCGAGCACUGGGCAACUGGUGCGUCACCGCGCGGGUGGUGUGGAAGGGUCGCGCGUACCCUUUAAGUUCGCAUGCCAGCCGCCUCGGCGGCAGCAGUGACCCUCGCCGCAGCGUCUGUGCAGGCAGCCCCCGCUUUGUCUUUCGGUGUCUCCUUGCAGACGAGCACGGCGACGCCGUCAUGGCAGCAUUCUAUGGCGGCGAGGCUCUGGUGGAGCGCGUGCGGUUGCACGGCUGCUACCGACUCGCGCAAGGGAUGGUGAAAUGGGGCACAGGCGAGAGCGGCGCCCCGAGCGAGCUGCAGUUUGUGGAAAAAUCGAUCGAGGAGGAGCUGACAUCGGGCGCAACUCAGCAAAUGUUUCCCUUUCACGCAUCCGCGCUUGUUGGCGAAGUGGCUCAGCAGUUGUGCGAUGUGGUCGCGGUGAGCGAGACCGCGCAGGUGGGCGGGUACGUCUCGGUGGUGGGUACAGUGGUCGCCGUGCAGGGAAACACGCAGGUCACCACCAAACGCGGUCGUGUGUGGCGGUCCGUGGUCACCCUGGCCAGCAUCGCCGAGCACAGCGCAGCAGCGGGCCGCUGCAGCGGCCCGUUCGUGGAGGUGACCUUGUGGGGUGAGGUUGCAGAGGCGGUGGAGCCGGCACUGGGCGAGCGCUGGGUGUUUCAUCCGUGUGCGGUGCAUCUCUUUCAGCAGCGCAAGACGCUGUCGAGUCUGGCGUCGACGAUGGCGGUGAAGCUCGUGCCACACACGUGCGGCGCCAAGCACGCACCGCGCGCGACAGCGUCACCAGGAUGGGAACCCGACGGAGGUGGCGCAGACGCCGUACCGAGCGCCGUCACUGCCGGCAUGUCUGUAGGUAGUCCGAAAGUCCUCAAAAAGGAUAUGCAGCUGGUGCUCGACCUCCAGGAAGCCUCCCCUACACUGCCGGUGCUGGCGCGUGUGCAAGAGGUCGUGCGUCCGUUUUGCGACUGGAUGUGCACAGAGUGCUGCCGAACUCAGCAGAGCGUCGUCACAGCCGGCAGCAUCGCAGCUGGAAAGCCAACUGCCUGUGCGCACUGCAGUGCGGCGCAGCUCUGCCCUACACUACGCUUGCGCGUGUGGCUCAGCGACGGCCUCUGCACCGGCCUGGCGGCCUUUCAUGGCUGCGCUGCCGAGUCGCUCCUUGAAGCGUCCCCUGCGGAGGUGGCGCUGGAUGUCGAGCGACGAUCAGCCUUCGUAGAUGAAAUGCUUGAUCGUCUUGUGGGUUUGCCAGUCUUGGUGUGGCUGCUGCCGUGCGGUGGUGCCGAUUCGUUCGAUGCCGCGCAGUUUAUCGUCACCAACUGCAAACGCAUUCAUUAUGUAUCCGGCGCCCAUACGCUGCUGUCUGCCAUCGACACCUUUGCUAGCCUCGACGAAGGUGUGAGCAGCGGGGCCGCUGAUGUCUUGGCGCAGACGCUGCCCGCGACAGGGGAUACGGCGUAAGAAAGGGAGCCGCGCCGGCGCACUCCCCUCCCGAACAACGGAAUGAGACGAAGUGCGAUGCGAUUUUGCUCUGACGCCAUCUGCGUGUCCUGUUAGGGGAGGGGGGGGGAGGUGUUUGCGCGUGCGCCUGCUCGUGCGUGCUGCCUACCACCACUGCUACAUGCUCUGCUCUUUCCUCCACCUCUGCGCGUCGCCUCGCCUGCGCACAGAUCGUGACGCCGGGUGGCGCUAGGGAGUGCAGAGGAGCCGCCAGCGAGCAACAGAUCAGCGAGUCAAAGAAACAUGUGGUCGUCACUCUCAAUCACAUCUGCGCGCUUGCGGAGUGCACACAAACAAGAUGGCGGGCAGAAUCGUCGAAGCCUAAUAAUCGGUGCGACGCUGCCAAACCCCUCUGCUCCUCUCAUCCCCAUCCACACAUCGUCUCGUGGCACUAAUGAGAGCAACGACCCCUCCCCGGAUCUUCACGAAACUAGGGGGUGGAAGCCGGGCGGAGUGUUUGCGACACGGCCCCACAGCGGCUCCACCGUAGCCACGCGUUCCUGUAAUUAGCCAUGCUGACCUCCAUGCUCCUCUUCUUCCCGUCUCCCUCGUCUCUUCUCGGACCUCCAACGCGUUACUGUCCCACCUCAG
rnacentral:misc_RNA from 1 species